GAUCAACCUGCAAAAGGAUCGAGGGUGCACCGUAUCAGACCUCUUCUCGUAUCAGACCGUCGCCAUUGUUCAGCUCUAUUGCUACGUAAAUAAAGUACCUACCUUUUAAAGAACCCGAACAAGAGGCAGGCCUAGAGAAUAAAGUGUUGACUACAUUAAUGAGGAUUUCAAAGCAAUUAGAAGAAGGAAGAGUAGAACUAAAAUAAGAUUCGUUAGUACUCGAUUCACAAAAAGCUGUCAAAGAAUUUUACAAUAGAUUCACGUUGAAACAAAACAAACUUUGAUUAAUCUUUACGGAAAAGUUCAUUUCUGAUUUGUUUUGGGAGACAUUUUAGUUUGCCAAGGAUUACCGUAAAUUACAUUUGCUAGAGCUCACUAUUUCAAGGAGGUAUUCAAAAAAAAAAAUUUUCCCUUUUCCAUUGAUCAAAAGAAUGCAUCCAAUUUUUUUCAGUAAUUUUGUAAAAGUUUAAUUCUUAAUGUUAAACCAUUACAUGCCAUCAAACUUUUUCAGUUCUGUUCAACUUAAUUUCUUCGUUUCUCAUUUUUGUUUUAUAAAGCAUGAAAACAUAGUGUAAUAAUGUGUAGUUUAUUUUAAAACUUGUCAUAUUUACAUUUUUAGCAUAAUAUUGGAAGACUUUUGCCUGGGAUGAAUAUAAAUUAAUCCUAAAUUUCUAGAUUUAUACUAAAUAUGUAUCUAAUUAGAUUUUAUGUAAAAUUUCGACUUUUUACGAAAGGAAAAAUAAAUAAUUUAAAAACUCCAUUUUUCUCGCAUUACAAUAAAAUAUAUGAAUACUGUAUACAUAGAAAGCAUUUAGAUCUGGUAUAAAAUUUAAACUUUUAAAUCUAAUUUAAUAUUUUAUUUUAAAAACUUGUUCCAUAUAGCUGAAGAUAGCCAAAUUUCCUUUUAGUAACACCUUAGAAUAUUAAGUUAAUUUUUUAUUUUUCGCAUGCUAGUACAAAGAUACGCAUGUUAGCACAAACAAUACUUCAUCAGGGGACUAUUUUUAAUUUAACCACUGACUAAAAAAAAAGGCUUCAGCAUGUUAGCAUGGCUGUCUCCCCUGAGGAAGUACUGUUUUUUGCUAACAUGCGCAUCUUUAAAAUUUGUUUGGUUUUAAGUUCAAUUCUCCCAUUUUUUUUUUUAAAUUAAAAUUGUGCACUUUAUUUCAAACUAUUGGUUUAAAUAUCUGCAAGUUCCGCGUGAUCGGAUUAGAUGAUCUCGAUUAAUUUAUCAUUUUUGUUAUGUGUUUAGGUGCUGUUUUUUUCUCUUGUAAUUUUCAGAAUUUUCUUACUAAUUGAUAUGCUUCUGAUGAAAUUUCAGAUAGCUAGAACUGAACGGGAUCAAUUUCUUGAUAAUGCCAAGAGCUUGCAGCGCUCCCUAGUGUAGAAAACGCGAUCCAUAAUAUCGGCUUUAAAUAUACUCGUUUAUUCUACCUUAUUGGUUUAUAUUGCUUAAUUUGUCCUUUUGUAUUGUGCAUAGGUACUGCUUUUGUGUCUUGUAUUUUUCAGAAUUGUCUUGCUAUGCUGCUGAUGAACACGUUUCGAGGAGAUAAAACUGUACAGGAUCAUUUUUAGAUAAAGCCUCAGACGAGUCUAUGAACGGAAAAAUUUGAAGACAUUAAAUGACUGUUUUACACACAAAGCAAUGCUCAAUCGCUUUCUUGCUGGCCUAAGUCUCAAAACAUCGUAUUGAUCAACACAUUGUGAUCCAAGUGGCUUCAAAGCACUCCAAAAGCAGUAACCAGGAAGUAUAGACAGUCGGGAGCUUGCUGCGCUCCCCAGUGUAGAAAACACGAUCCAUAAUAUCGGCUUUAAAUAUACUCGUUUAUUCUACCCUAUGGGUUUAUAUUGUUUAAUUUGUCCUUUUGUUUUGUGCAUAGGUACUGCUUUUGUGUCUUGUAUUUUUCAGAAUUGUCUUGCUAUGCUGCUGAUGAACACGCUUCGAGGAGAUAAAACUGUACAGGAUCAAUUUUAGAUAAAGUCUCAGACGAGUCUAUGAACGGAAAAAUUUGAAGACAUUAAAUGAAUGUUUUGCACACAAAGCAAUGCUCAAUCGCUUUCUUGCUGGCCUAAGUCUCAAAACAUCGUAUUGAUCAACACAUUGUGAUCCAAGUGGCUUCAAACACUCCAAAAGCAGUAACCCGGAAGUAUAGACAGUCGGGAGCUUGCUGCGCUCCCUUGUGUAGAAAACAUGAUCCAUAUUAUCGGCUUUAAAUAUACUCGUUUAUUCUACCCUAUUGGUAUAUAUUGUUUAAUUUGUCCUUUUGUUUUGUGCAUAGGUACUGCUUUUGUGUCUUGUAUUUUUCAGAAUUGUCUUGCUAUGCUGCUGAUGAACACGUUUCGAGGAGAUAAAACUGUACAGGAUCAAUUUUUAGAUAAAGCCUCAGACGAGUCUAUGAACGGAAAAAUUUGAAGACAUUAAAUGACUGUUUUACACACAAAGCAAUGCUCAAUCGCUUUCUUGCUGGCCUAAGUCUCAAAACAUCGUAUUGAUCAACACAUUGUGAUCCAAGUGGCUUCAAACACUCCAAAAGCAGUAACCCGGAAGUAUAGACAGUCGGGAGCUUGCUGCGCUCCCUAGUGCAGAAAAAACGAUCCAUAUUAUCGGCUUUAAAUAUACUCGUUUAUUCUACCCUAUUGGUAUAUAUUGUUUAAUUUGUCCUUUUGUUUUGUGCAUAGGUACUGCUUUUGUGUCUUGUAUUUUUCAGAAUUGAUUUGACAGUCUACUUGAUAUCCUGAUGAGGGACACUUAUUGGGAAGCUAAAACUGUAUAGGAAUAAAGAAUCAGACGAGUCUAGGAAGGGCUGCACUAAUUAAAGAUAUGAAUGACUUUUCACAAAAAAUCUUUUGUUUCCUUGCUGGUCUAGUAGGUGAGACUGUAACCUUUAUUUUUAUCUUAACCAAAGCCAUUUCUAUUUAAACUGGAAAUUUGACUGAAUCCUUGGCUUAAUGUAAGAUUGAUAUUCAUUGUGCGCCAGAAUCCUAAGCUUUUCUCUCGAAUAGGACUAAUCUAUUUGGUUUUGACAUAGUCCAGGCUUCUGAGCCACACAAUAACAAAUGUAUAAUGAUGAUUUUAUGAAACAUUUCCGUUUUUCUUUUUUAUUCAUUUCGAAUGCAGAAAAAUUGUUAAUCCUUUAAGGGAACGAUUUCCAGCAGCAAUGCGUUGUUUUAUUUUAACUUUUGUGGGGUCACACUGAUAACAGUAAAUAUUCGAAGAACCUUCUUAUAUCGGUUUAUUAAAUAGUGCAUAGCUUUAAAAUUAAUGUGAGCAUGUUAAACUUUUUGAGCAUCAAGGAUUGUUAACACUGUGAACGUUCACAAUUAAAACUUUCGUGUCUUGCGUUUUUGUCUGAUAUUUACUAAAACCUCCUGACUUUUCGCAAUUACGUUGCGAUGUCGUUGUAAAACACAGAUGAACGUGUUAUGAAACGGAAAAUUUCAGAGGAAAUGACUGAACAAGUGUGAAAUCCGAAUUGGGAGUAGUAAACGGCCGUUCUUCUCCAUCUUCGAGCUUCACACUUGUUCAGCCUUUUCGGAACUUUUCCGUUCUCUCGACUACGGUGCAGUAAGAACCAGGGUGUCAAAAGAACUGGGUAGUCCUGGACAUGUGAUGCUAGCCCACAUGUCCGUGACCCUAAGUCACUGAAGAACUCUGGUGCUUACAGCUAAAUAUAUUUGGCUUUAAAAUUAUUUAAAUUAUUAUCCCGCUCAAAUUAAAAUCUAAAGGGCUGAGGUAGGAUAGAGUAAGGUCCUGGAAUGUAACUAAAGCUUGCAAGUCCGUGCCCUGAAAAACCACCCAGCCCUUUACUAACGUUUAAUCUUAGAACAAGAACGUUUAUAGUGCUUGUAAUUUAUCAAUUUAGACUUUCAUAAUAUUUUUCUAGCUAAGGGGAAAAGCGUUUCUCUUGUGUUAGAUUAGUUAAGUGAUAGUUGCAUUGUGAGAAUGUUAACGAUGUUAUUUUAAAUUUGAACUAAACUUUAAUCGGUUUCUUAAGAUUAGCUUCUAAAGUCUUGAUAUCUGUACGAAUAAGAAUUUUUUGACACAGAAAUUAUUAAUUUAAAAUAUAGUUUUGAAGAUUCUGGGAGCAAUGUAAAGCAACCAUUCAUGAAAGCACAUGUGUACAAUGAACUUCGUAAGCUGUAUAAAUCUGUUAUGAACAGCUGUAUAAAGCUGUAUAAGCUGUAUAAAUCUGUAUCGAAUUUGAACUGUAUCGAAGAGAACAAAUCCUCCUUAAUGUUCAGAAUAUUAAAAUAAAUUGGAACCUGAACAAGAAUUUUCAACAAUUUUCAACAAUUUUUUUUCAACAAAAAAUUUUUUUCCUGAACAGAAUCAAUUUUUUAACGGAUGAAAACACCGAUGUCAAGAUAGGAAAAUGCUGCAAAAUAUAUAGUUAAAUUUAAAACUUGUUCGAUUUAAAGAGUAUUCAAAGUGUUUACCAUUAUUUUUAUAGAUUGAUUUAUACUUCUGAUCGUUUCAUUUCUAAAUUAAAACUGAACUGGACUUCUAUCUUUGUUUGCUUUCUUUUGAUUUUUGUUAAAAUCAACAUCUUUUGGAAUUGAUAAAAGAGUUAAAAUAUGAAUAAAAAUUAAAGCGCAAAAUAAAAAUUUAUAAUAUGUAAGCCAAUGAAGCAUUUUCUGAUAACAUUCUGAUAACAUAAAAAGUACUUAUUAUAUUUAAUAUUGUAUAUAUAUACUAAUACACUACUUACUAGUAUGCUACAAAUAUAUAAUAUAUACUAACUAUACUAUAACUUGUAUUUAACUAAUCUAUUGUGAUACGUUUAUUACUGCAGAUAUUCUAAUAUUGUUCAAUGAUUUAAUUUAUCUCAAACAAUAUUAGUUUUGAAUAUAGGUUUUAUCUGCCUUAUUAUUGGAUUAGAUUAUGCUUAAUUCAGCCUUUUUUUGUGCAUCGGUACUGCUUCUGUCUCUGGUAUUUUUCAGAAUCUUCUUCUUGAUAUGCUGCUGAUGUGAACACGCUUUGGGGAGCUGAAAUUGCAAAAGAUGAAUUGUUUCGAAUAAAGCAUCUGACUAAUCUCUGAAAAGUUGAAGGUCUUUUCAAAUAAGUUGCUGCCUACUUCCAAUUAACUUGCUGGCCUAGUAGCAGAGAAUGAAUUUUGCGCCAUUCUCCAGAUUCAAGUGUUGCCGAGAUUAAACAUGAAAUUGAAAGGGCCAUUUGUUUGUCAAAUGAGAUGAGACUGAUCUGUUCCUCGAAGAUGAUUUCAUUCCCAAAGAUGUGGUUAGAAUCUCAGAAUUUUGUGAUCUACGUAAAAUAUCCUGGUUCGUGCGUUAAAAUCACCAUACCGUCGAGCUAACCGUGGAAGGUUUUCAUGGUUCCCUCUCCAUGUAACGCAAAUGCGGGUUAGUUGCAGCGUAAGUCCUCCAUGAAGGCUAUUUCGAUCCAGGAGUUCUCUCGUCUUCUGGUUUCAAGUGUGCGAUCUUAUGGAGCUGAACAGUCAUAAUUGUAAACCCAGAAAUGAGUAUGCCAUCCAACCCUGGUUGAGCAGUAAAUUAAAUUCAGUUGGAUAUCUCUUUUUGCACUAAGCAAACUUGUUGGAAAGUUUUCGAGAACAGACUUCCGUGGUUCCUACUCUAAACCCUGCAAUGACAAUUAACGCCUUUCGAAUUUUUCAAGCUGGCAUUGUAGAUGUUGUUCAAUUUUGUUAUUUAUGUAAGACUUCUUUUACAUAAUGCAUAGUUACAUGCAAUUCUGUGUCUUGUUCUACUCUUAUUAGCCAUGAAUAAAUAGCUUAUUCUUGA